CACUCAUGAGGACUGGAUGUGGAUGGACACUCAUGAGGACUGAUCAGAUGUGGAUGGACACUCAUGAGGACUGAUCAGAUGUGGAUGGACACUCAUGAGGAUGGAGUGAGAUUGGGAAGGAACUGGAGUUUUGUGGAUCAUGUCUCAGCUCCUCAGAAUGCAAGGCUGGCAAGGUGGCUCAGUGGGUAAAGGAUGAUCUCUGCCAAGACUGAAGACAGGAGUUCAAUACCUGGGUCUCACUUGAUGGAAACUGAAAUCCACCUCCAGCAAGUUGUCUUCUGCACCAACACACACAGAGAAACACUUACACAUGGCACCUGCUGGAAGUGGCUCCUGACUUGAGGGUGAAGAAAGGAGCUGCUGGCCCCAUGCAGCCCCAGGACAAGGCCAUGGUGAUGUAGAACUCUGAAGAUCCUGUGGAGCUCAAGCUGGAAGAAGCAGUCAGUCCUUCAAGGCAAGAUUAUUACCUGUAAAACAUCUAGGCAUUUAUUUCUGAGUAUUGUGAGAUGCUGGUGUUAAUGUGACCUACCAGACUAGCAAAGAUGGAAUGCUUCCGGCUCAGUUCCACUGAACACAGCACCAUGUGAGCGAUCCUUACCCUCGUCAUGCAGUCAUGCACGGAUGGAGUUUCAGGGUUUUGCCAAGUGCUGGGAAAUAAAGAUAUACAGAGGCAAAGAGAGCUGAGGUCACAGGGUCACACUGAGUUCCUAGAAGCAGAGUGAGGCUGGAAUCUCCCAUCACUAAGCAAAUGGGAACCAGUGGCUAGUAACUCUGCCCAUUGUCCUUUUAUGACUUUAGCAUUUGAUAUUCAUUACAAACUCAGUUUGUUGAAUGGAUGGGUGGGCAGAUAGAAUUGCUUGUUUUGGGCAGCUGCACUCUCUAUUGCUGGAAAAUGACUAAAAUAAUCGAGCUCUUCUCCCAUUUUUAAAUUUUCACAAAUGGAAACUGGGUGUGUGAAAAUAAGUGUGUAAGAAUAUGAGAGUGUUUAUGUAAGCCUCUGUGUGAACGAAUCAUCUGUCUAUCGUUAUCGAUUAUCUAUAUAUGUGUCUAUCUAUGUUUCUAUCUGUCAUCUAGCUUCUAUUUCAGUGGUUCUCAACCUGUGGAUCAUGACCCCAGCAGGGGUCAAAUAUCAGAUAUCCUGCAUAUCAGAUAUUUACAUUACAAUUUGUAACAGUAGCAAAGUAACAGUCAUGACGUAGUGACAAAAUAAUUUUAUGGUUGGUGAAUCACCACAAUAUGAGGAACUGUAUUAAAGGGUCACAGCAUUAGGAUGGUUUCGAACCACUGAUCUUUCUGAUUGUGUGUGUGCGUCUCAGUGUGAGUAUAUGGGUAUGUGCAAGUUGGUAGAUGUGGGGGGAGGAGUGUUGACAACCCAGUCAAAGGCUCCUUACUUUUGUAGUGUUGGGUAUAGACUAAGCACUAAGGAAUGGCAGGCACCUUCUUAGUAUUACAUUAGUUAGUAUUAACAUCUGCGGUGUUAUGCAGCAGAGAUCAUGAUGUGCAUUUACCUGACCUGAUAAGAUUCAGAACCAUUAAGUACCCUGUCCAAGGUCAUUCUGGGGAGUCUUGACCAAAGCUGGUGACCUUCUCACCAUACUAGCCUUCCCAUCUUAGCAAGACACUGCUGCCAGGCACAGUGUUUGUUAGGGUAGGGAGGCUGAGAGGCAAGCACAGAUGGAGCUGAGCUAUAUUGGUCUUGAGAAAUACUGGAAGAAGAAGUAACUUCAGGGUCUUCGAGUAGGGAUUAAGUAUUGGAACAUUUCAGGGGAUGGAAAUCUCCACGAGUAUCUGGUUCUAUCUGCCUAGCUUUACAUAAAACCAGUUUCAGGGCUGGUGCCCGGGAGGCCACCUUUAUAGAAAACAUCCCCAGUUGCUUGUUUGGUUCCAAUAAGAUUCUGGAUGGAAGGUCCCUAACCCAGAGCAAGGAUGCAGGCCAAGCGAAUGAAAAGACACCGUUUUUAAAGCAUAAAGGAAGCCCUUUACCCCUUUAGUUUUAAAAUCUCAGUAUCCAUGACAACUGGACAGAGUGAAGAAAAUGGCUGUCCCUCCCCUCUUCAUUGUUUGACUUUCUGUUGCUGCAGCAACUGAAUCUACUGGGCCCAGCCAGAUUGUCCCGGGGCUUUCUUCUCUCUCAGUCCCCCUUUAUUGCCGGCCCUCCUCGGUGCCAACAUGGCUUUGUCUUACUCUGGAGACAUCUGUGAGAACGAGGACGAGGAUGGGCAAAGUGUCAGGCUCUUGAUGCUGCUGAAAAUCCUUUGAGAUGGGAGAAAUUGCUGAAACAAAGGGGCAAGGAACAAAAAGGCCUGAAAGGCCCACACCAGCCUCUGAGGGUCUUUAUCAUCUUAAACCUUGGGAUUUAGAGCGUCUAGCUCUGCCUUUCCCAGGGAGGGUUUGGCAGGGAUACGAAAAGAAUGGGCCUAGGAAACUGGCUGCCUAACAGCCCCAGAAUAGAGAAGUUCCUGGGAGACAAAGUCUGGUUAACUUUGCAUAGGGCUGCUCUCUUCCUUGCCCCUCCUUCCACAGCCCCUCUAUUCUUCUCUCCUAUCCUCUCUUGUAUGUUUCUGAUUAAUAAUCUCCCACUUGGAGGAGCUCAAACAAGUAGGUGGGUCUUCAACAUUCAUCAAUCAGCCCCUUUCAAUAAUUUGUCUUAAGUGAACAAUCAGCUAGUUAUGGGAAGAUUUGUGGAUCUGCACAGUGCUGGGAUGUGGUGGGAAAAUCUAAAUGGACGUAAAGUGUGUCUGAUGCACUGCACCUUGUUUAUGCCUUGAAGAAGCAAUGGCUUCACUCCUCCUAUAGCUGCAUAUUGGUCCGGUGCCCGCAAAGCACAGUCCCUAUCCUAGUUUCAGAAGAUUACAGUCAUUAUUGAGGAGCAGUGGAGGCAGGAACUCAAAGCACUGUACCCAUAGUUAGGAGCAGAGAGAGAAUAAAUGCAUGGAUCUUUGCUUGCUCUCCUGCUUAUUACUCAGAUCGUUUACUCUUAGACAGCCCAGGACCUAGCAUGCAGUGGUAUCGUCUGCAACCAGGGUGGGUCUUCCCAACUCAGCUGAUAAUCAAGACAACCCUCCACCCCAACUCCAUGCCAACAGGCCAACCUGAGGUUGAGAGUCCCUUAUUCUAGGUCAUGUCAAGUUGACAAUUAAAGCUAAGCAUUACAGGUCUUGCCAGAUGAUGCAGACCUAAGUGCAGACCACAAUUUGCAGUGAGUACUGUGAUGGAAAGGGACAAAACUGGGGUGGGAAGAUGGGGGCGGUGAGAGCAUAUUGGACACCCUUAUCCUCACCAGCUGCUGGGAGAGAGUUCUCUAAAUGCCAGUGAUCUCAAACGUAGGUGUUGAGGAUGCCAGCUUAGGUCUGUAUGCUACAGCGGCAUGUGCUUUAUUGGUUGAGUAAUCUCCCCAACUCAGGAUAUGUAGAUUUUGGAGCUGUUCAUUAGAAGAGGCUGGGAGGCUGCUGGACAGCCCCACCCAGAGCCUCAGGGAGACUACGGCCAGGUCCAAAGCACACUGAGGAGGGCCAAGCUGAGCCAGCAGAGAAUGGUCUUCCUGGCCCAGCAAAGGGAGUGGUGAGAAUGUGUGCACAGCUGUGAGGGUGUUUGCUGACUUAGCAUCAGGAAAGCCAGGGAUUUGCUGUCUUCUCAUGGCUUCCCCUUUUGCAGAGGAGAGGCUGCCUACUUAGUGAAAAGGAAGGAAGUAAUAUGUGAAGGUGGUGAGGGAAGAGGGUUAGAGACUAGGAAAGAAGAAAGGUUGGUAACGUAUGAAGGGUAAAACAAGCUACAAAGUAACAUGUCUGGAUCAGAAAGUUAAACUGUAGCAUAUGUGUUUAGGUGUAUAAGAAUGUUAUGUAUACAUGUUCACACACACAUACAGUUUCUGGUUAGUAUGGUGAUACAAUUCAAAAUGCUUUAUGCUUUUAUUUUCUUUGAGACAGUGUCUCACUUUGUAGCUCUGGCCUGUAAUUUACCAUGUAGAUCAGGCUGGCCUUGAACUCACAGGAAUGCUGGAGUGCCUCCCUACUUUAUGCUUUUUCUGUGUUUUUCAAAUUCACUAAAGUAAAUAUACACUGCUUUGACUCUCAAAAACAGACAAACAAAAGAACAAACCCUCAAAUAGCUCCACAAACAGAUUUUUUUCACAAAGGAGAUAAAACAUAUAGCAUAUAAGAUCAUUUGCUUUCAUUUUUUAAGGAAAACUUGUUUAUUAACAUAUUGAAAUUACUAGAAAAUUAAUCAUUAAACUGUGACUUAAAACAGCAAAACAGGUAUUUGUCAAAGAGAACUACCCUAAACUUAAGCAGUAUGGUGAAGGCCAUGGUGUGCAUUUCAGGGUGACAGCCUCCUCAUUGGAAGCUUUUCUGCCAGCAAGUCCAAGACUGAUGUCUUGGCUCUUGGGGAGAGGCAGACAAUGGCAGGCGUUCAUGCUGCCUGAGACAGCCCAGAGUGUGUACCACCUGAGCUGAAUCCCAAGCACUGGGUGGUACUUUUGAUACCUCCAAUGAUCUUAAAAAUUGACUAUUCUAAAGUUUCUUAGACUUGAACAAGUUGUUAUGAAAACCACACUUACACCGGGCAUGGUGGUGCAUGCCUUUGAUUCCAGCAUUUGGGAGUCAGAGGCAGAUGAGCUAGAGGUCAGCCUGGUCGACACAGUGAAUUCCAGGAUAGCCAGAGCUGUUGCACAGAGAAAUCCUCUCAAAGGGGGGAAAAAAGAAAGAAAACCAUGCUCAUGAUAGCAAGUGUGCUUUUGCACAACCAUCUAAACAUGUAAAAACACUUGAAAGUGUUUGUUCCCUUCUUUCUUGUACCUUAGGGGCAAUCUAUACACAUUGUUACAGACUGGAGCUAACUAGAGACACAGGCAAGGGAACUGCCCGCACACCACAUGUUAUAGAUCUAGCUCUAUAAAAUUAGCCUUAUCCUAAGCAAUAUCCAUGAAAUCACUGUUAGCUGGCUAUGUAUGGCUAAUAUGCAUUCAAAUUAAUGCAUAGCUACCCAAACAUUUCCAUUUGUACUAUCCAAAGUUAUCCAGCAUGUGGCACACUUAGGGAAGUAAAGCUUCAGUGUAGAGCUUGAACAUUUUGCACACAUCUUGCUCCAAAAUGCUUCUCGGGACAGAACAGAAGGGAAGCAUGUGCAUGGGAUGACUUUCAUAAGACCUAAAGGCACCAAGAGCCUGAGCCCACCCUGGGAUAAGGGCAUGAGUUUACAAACCUGGCUCAGCUGGGGAAGGACAGGGCAGAACCUCUUACUCUGCCCUCUGCUAGUUCCAUCUGAUGUUGCCAUAAUUGGGUCUUGUAACGCCACAGAGCAAGGGAGGGGAAAAAAAAGGAAAUCCUCCCCUUUCUGAGAUGUUGCUUUUCCUAAUAGAAGAGGUCAAGAGGCUGGCUGCACAAUCUUGAGAUCAGACACAGUGUCUCUCCAUCAGAGCUAAGGGGAAGCAGACCUAGCUAAGUUAAAUUUAGGUCCUGAAUCCCAGAAUCUAGUAGUGUAAAGGGUUUAGCUAACCAGGUCCCAUCAGGGCCCUGAGCUCUUGGCCACACUUCUGUGGUCUCUCUUUCCUCGUACAUCGUCUGAAACACCAUAUCAUGUGGCUUUCUUUUCUGAACUCUCACUCUUGGCCCAUAAUAAAGAGAAAUCACCAAGAGUGAGAGCAAGAAAGACACAUGAGAAAGUGUUCAACAUCCUUAGUCAUUAGGGAAAUGCAAAUCAGUGGCUAAAAUAAAAAAUACUAAUGACAGUUUAUG